UACUGUACACGUAUUAGUGUGACGUGGCAUCCGGCGUUGUUGCGGUAGGUCAGUUUUUUUUAAAUCAAGACAUUGUACUUUUUACAUAGGCAUUUUUGGAUUUUCUUGUUUUGUAUGCCUCCAACGUGUUUGAUCUUCGUGUAAAGACAAUUUGUUGGUCUGGUAUAUACUUUGUACCAUCUCAAAUAGUUUAGGCAGUAUCUUUAGCGUAGCUUCUCGGGAACAUAUCGAUUCAACUUUAUCAUUUUUAGGUUAAAGUUCAGCAAUUCCAUCGCAAUAGAAAGAAAAUUGGGCUACAGAUUUUUAAUUUUGCUCCUAAACGUAACAACAAUACAAUAUUAGGGUAUUAUGUGAAUAUAUUUACAAAAACAACACGUUUCAGAGUAUUAAAACCGUGAAGUGCUGGGCUCCAGACCGCAAGCAUUAUAAGUUUAUUAAUUUAACAAUUUUUUUCCUCGCUGGGUUUAGAACAUGGGUUAUUCCAUUGGCUCUCAAUGUCCGUCGCACCAGGAGCGGGUCCAGCUUGCUUUCGAGUCAGGGGGGUCAAGCAGUAGAAAUUCAAUCUUUUGUUGUCCAUGCAAUUAGAAAAAUUUGACGCCGGGAUCCGCUCUUGCGUCGCACUAACAUUGUAAUGUGCGUGAUAUAAAGGUGCUGUCAUAUGCGAGUAGCGCCUUAUAUAAGCCUUAUUCUAUGAGUAGCGCAAAGUUUUCCUGGGGUAAGUACAUGCGGAAUUGCUCUUCCUAGUUCCUUGAUGCGGCUGGCAAUUCCCAUCAAUGAAAACUUUUUCACAUGCCCACGGUGUAAGAGUUUUCUCCUCGAGCUAAUUGUUUGGCGUUAAGUUAAAAAAAAAUUGCCAUAAAACUGAACUUUAUGAUAUGCUUUUCUGCCACUGGUUGAAAAAAAAGAUUCUAUUUGAAUAUACAUCGAUAUACAUAUUUAUACUUUUUGUUUGUGUAUUUCUUAAACAAGUUCCCGAAUAUGUCGAUUAUAUUCACUUUUCGGAACAUUUUCUGGCGUAAAAUCGCAAGAAGAUACUAGUUCUAGUACUCCAAAUAAAUUACCUGAUAAGGUUCGUAAACCAAAAAAUCUCUCUUUAGAGACUAAAAUUGCUUAAAUAAAAAUAAAAAAGGUUCGUAAACAAUUUGCGCACCAGUCCAAAGUUUUGUAACACCGCAAUAUUCUAUCUUCUGUGGUUUUGGUAGCUAUUAAGUUUUGGAUUUAAAGCCGCCAGUUGAAGCGGUAACAAGACUGAAACCAUUAAUGAGUAUGCUAUUUUACUCAAUUGAUAACACUAAGAUAUAUUGCUUGUCAAAAGGGAAAGUAAAGGCAACUAAAAACAGACAGAAAGUUGAAAGGAAUCUAAAAUCCACUCAUCAAGCUCGAGCUGAAGCUUCGGCCGCUGUACGGAUAGAAGACAGGCCAGGAAAAGGAAUGAGUAAUGGCUGAAGAUCCGGAAAAGCAGAGGCGUUGGGAAUGAGAAACGCCAAGCCAAAAAGAGAGCGUCUCGAAUGAAGCAGCUGAAGGUAAAAGCAACCUAGUUCGUUUUAGUUAAUAAAACUGGGUACAUACUUGGUUGAAGAUUCAGUUGUUAAGCGGGUAAAAUCAUCCAAUUACCUUAGUAUUGUAAGAUAAUUCGUACUUUUCAUGCAAUAAGAUUGAUAUUUUAAAUAUGUACGCCAAUAUUUGUAACGAGUCUUGUUAAAUACCUUAAUUGCCCUCACCAUUUUUCAUACUUCUCUACCAGGGAGCGAUUAAUCGCUAAGAGUCGAAAUGUAAAAAUUCUAUCUAAAAUAUUUUUGGAUAGAAUUCAAGAGACGAGAUAGAAGAUAUCUAAAAUCAAGACUACUUUUAUCGCAGCUAUGUACUACUAUUGAAAAAAUUUUUUUCGAAAUGCUUUAGCUUAGCUUGGGUCACGCAGGGAGCAAGGAAGAAACCUAUUUUUUGUUUAGUCAUUUAUUUGAAAGAUCCCAGUUGAAAGAAUCUUAAUUACUUAGCGGCUGCUA